AACGAACGCUGGCGGCAUGCCUAACACAUGCAAGUCGAACGAGACCUUCGGGUCUAGUGGCGCACGGGUGCGUAACGCGUGGGAACCUGCCCUUAGGUUCGGAAUAACUCCCCGAAAGGGGUGCUAAUACCGGAUAAUGUCUUCGGACCAAAGAUUUAUCGCCUUUGGAUGGGCCCGCGUUGGAUUAGCUAGUUGGUAGGGUAAAAGCCUACCAAGGCGACGAUCCAUAGCUGGUCUGAGAGGAUGAUCAGCCACACUGGGACUGAGACACGGCCCAGACUCCUACGGGAGGGAGCAGUGGGGAAUAUUGGACAAUGGGCGAAAGCAUGAUCCAGCAAUGCCGCGUGAGUGAUGAAGGCCUUAGGGUUGUAAAGCUCUUUUACCCGGGAUGAUAAUGACAGUACCGGGAGAAUAAGCACCGGCUAACUCCGUG
rnacentral:rRNA from 1 species